GUGCCAGCAGCCGCGGUAAUACAGAGGGGGCAAGCGUUAUUCGGAAUUAUUGGGCGUAAAGGGCGCGUAGGCGGCUAUUCAAGUGGCGGGUGAAAUCCCUCGGCUUAACCGAGGAACUGCCUGCCAGACUGGAUGGCUUGAGACCGGGAGAGGUGAGUGGAAUUCCCAGUGUAGCGGUGAAAUGCGUAGAUAUUGGGAGGAACACCAGUGGCGAAGGCGGCUCACUGGACCGGUACUGACGCUGAGGCGCGAAAGCGUGGGGAGCAAACAGGAUUAGAUACCCUCGUAGUCC
rnacentral:rRNA from 1 species